GAGGUCCAGCCUGCCCAGUGACUAUAUGUUCAACGGCCGCGGUAUUCUGACCGUGCAAAGGUAGCGUAAUCACUUGUCUUUUAAAUAAAGACUGGUAUGAAUGGCACCACGAAGGUUCAACUGUCUCCUGCAUCCAAUCCAUUAAACUGACCUCCCCGUGCAGAGGCGGGGAUAUACCCAUAAGACGAGAAGACCCUAUGGAGCUUUAAACUUACGGCAACUGCUAAACAAUCCAACCCCACACGGGAAAACAGACAAUUAAGCAACAAUGACCUAAAGUUUUCGGUUGGGGCGACCACGGAGAAAAAAAAAUCCUCCUUGAUGUACGGGGCCUUACCCUCUUAACCAAGAACGACAGUUCUAAGUAACAAAACAUUUGACCACUAUUGAUCCAGUCCAACUGAUCAACGAACCAAGUUACCCUAGGGAUAACAGCGCAAUCCAUUUCGAAAGUUCCUAUCGACAAAUGGGUUUACGACCUCGAUGUUGGAUCAGGGCAUCCCAGUGGUGCAGCCGCUACUAAAGGUUCGUUUGUUCAACGAUUAAAGCCCUACGUGAUC
rnacentral:rRNA from 1 species